AGUUCGGAUUGUAGUCUGCAACUCGACUACAUGAAGCUGGAAUCGCUAGUAAUCGUAGAUCAGCAUGCUACGGUGAAUACGUUCCCGGGUCUUGUACACACCGCCCGUCACACCACGAGAGUUUGUAACACCCGAAGCCGGUGGAGUAACCUUUUAGGAGCUAGCCGUCGAAGGUGGGACAAAUGAUUGGGGUGAAGUCGUAACAAGGUAGCCGUAUCGGAAGGUGCGGCUGGAUCACCUCCUUU
rnacentral:rRNA from 1 species